GGUAACAGCUCAAAUUUGAAAUCUGGGUCUUUCAGGCUCCGAGUUGUAAUUUGUAGAAGAUGCUUUGGGUGCGGCCCCGGUCUAAGUUCCUUGGAACAGGACGUCAUAGAGGGUGAGAAUCCCGUAUGUGAUCGGUGGCUUGCGCCCGUGUAAAGCUCUUUCGACGAGUCGGGUUGUUUGGGAAUGCAGCUCUAAAUGGGUGGUAAAUUUCAUCUAAAGCUAAAUAUUGGCCAGAGACCGAUAGCGCACAAGUAGAGUGAUCGAAAGAUGAAAAGGACUUUGGAAAGAGAGUUAAACAGUACGUGAAAUUGUUGAAAGGGAAGCGCUUGCAACCAGACUUGCGCGGGGUUGAUCAUCCGGGGUUCUCCCCGGUGCACUCGGCCUCGCUCAGGCCAGCAUCGGUUUCGGUGGUUGGAUAAAGGCCUUGGGAAUGUGACUUCUUUCGGGGAGUGUUAUAGCCCUCGGUGCAAUGCAGCCUACCGGGACCGAGGACCGCGCUUCGGCUAGGAUGCUGGCGUAAUGGUUGUAAGCGACCCGUCUUGAAACACGGACCAAGGAGUCUAACAUCUAUGCGAGUGUUUGGGUGUCAAACCCAUACGCGUAAUGAAAGUGAACGGAGGUGAGAACCCUUAAGGGUGCAUCAUCGACCGAUCCUGAUGUCUUCGGAUGGAUUUGAGUAAGAGCAUAGCUGUUGGGACCCGAAAGAUGGUGAACUAUGCCUGAAUAGGGUGAAGCCAGAGGAAACUCUGGUGGAGGCUCGCAGCGGUUCUGACGUGCAAAUCGAUCGUCAAAUUUGGGCAUAGG
rnacentral:rRNA from 1 species